rnacentral:rRNA from 1 species
GACGAACGCUGGCGGCGUGCUUAACACAUGCAAGUCGAACGGAAAGGCCCUGCUUUUGUGGGGUGCUCGAGUGGCGAACGGGUGAGUAACACGUGAGUAACCUGCCCUUGACUUUGGGAUAACUUCAGGAAACUGGGGCUAAUACCGGAUAGGAGCUCCUGCUGCAUGGUGGGGGUUGGAAAGUUUCGGCGGUUGGGGAUGGACUCGCGGCUUAUCAGCUUGUUGGUGGGGUAGUGGCUUACCAAGGCUUUGACGGGUAGCCGGCCUGAGAGGGUGACCGGCCAAAUUGGACUGAGAUACGGCCCAGACUCCUACGGGAGGCAGCAGUGGGGAAUAUUGCACAAUGGGCGGAAGCCUGAUGCAGCAACGCCGCGUGCGGGAUGACGGCCUUCGGGUUGUAAACCGCUUUCGCCUGUGACGAAGCGUGAGUGACGGUAAUGGGUAAAGAAGCACCGGCUAACUACGUG